rnacentral:rRNA from 1 species
UACAGAGGUCCCAAGCGUGGUUCGGAUUCACUGGGCGUAAAGGGUGCGUAGGUGGUGAGGUAAGUCGGAUGUGAAAUCUCCGAGCUCAACUCGGAAAUUGCAUUGGAAACUACCUUGCUUGAGGGUUGGAGGGGGGACUGGAAUGCUUGGUGUAGCAGUGAAAUGCGUAGAUAUCAAGCGGAACACCAGUGGCGAAGGCGAGUCCCUGGACAACACCUGACACUGAGGCACGAAAGCUAGGGGAGCAAACAGG